rnacentral:rRNA from 1 species
UACGGAGGGGACUAGCGUUGUUCGGAAUUACUGGGCGUAAAGCGCACGUAGGCGGCUUCUUAAGUCAGGGGUGAAAUCCUGGAGCUCAACUCCAGAACUGCCUUUGAUACUGAGAAGCUUGAGUCCGGGAGAGGUGAGUGGAACUGCGAGUGUAGAGGUGAAAUUCGUAGAUAUUCGCAAGAACACCAAUUGCGAAGGCAGCUCGCUGGGACGUUACUGACGCUGAGACGCGAAAGCGUGGGGAGCAAACAGG